rnacentral:rRNA from 1 species
UACGUAGGGGGCAAGCGUUGUCCGGAAUCAUUGGGCGUAAAGCGCGUGUAGGCGGCUCAGUAAGUCCGCUCUGAAAGCCCGGGGCUUAACCCCGGGAGGCGGGUGGAUACUGCCGGGCUAGAGUCCGGAAGAGGCGAGUGGAACUCCUGGUGUAGCGGUGGAAUGCGCAGAUAUCAGGAAGAACACCGACGGCGAAGGCAGCUCGCUGGGACGGUACUGACGCUGAGGCGCGAAAGCGUGGGGAGCGAACAGG